rnacentral:rRNA from 1 species
UACAGAGGGUGCAAGCGUUGUUCGGAAUUAUUGGGCGUAAAGCGCGUGUAGGCGGCUUUGUGUGUCGGGUGUGAAAAGCCCCUCGCUUAACCGAGGAAGUGCGCCCCGAAAACUGCAGAGCUUGAGUGCCGGAGAGGAUAGCGGAACACCCGGUGUAGAGGUGAAAAUUCGUAGAUAUCGGGGUAGAACACCAGUGGCGAAGGCGGCUAUCUGGACGGACACUGACGCUGAGACGCGAAAAGCGUGGGGGAGCAAACAGG